GACGAACGCUGGCGGCGUGCUUAACACAUGCAAGUCGAACGAAGUGGCGAACGGGUGAGUAACGCGUAAUCAACCUGCCCUUCAGAGGGGGACAACAGUUGGAAACGACUGCUAAUACCGCAUACUGAAGGAGGGGAUUGCGUCUGAUUAGCUAGUUGGAGGGGUAACGCCCCACCAAGGCGAUGAUCAGUAGCCGGUCUGAAAGGAUGAACGGCCACAUUGGGACGGGGACACGGCCCAGACUCCUACGGGAGGCAGCAGGGGGGAAUCUUCCGCAAUGGACGAAAGUCGGACGGAGCAACGCGGCGUGAGUGAUGACGGCCUUCGGGUUGUAAAGCUCUGUUAAUCGGGACGCGGUACCGGAAUAGAAAGCCACGGCUAACUACGUGCCAGCAGCCGCGGUAAUUC
rnacentral:rRNA from 1 species